UAUGUGUCUUGGAGCUGGAUUUUUCGAUGAAGUCUGUGGAAGCUUGUUACCGUGUUAAAUGCCCAGCUUUCAUUAAAUCCACACCUGAAGGUCAUGUGAAUCUUCAGCCCACCCAGCUUGACUGAGCAUUUCUCUCUGGAAGCGUAUUGGGAGCAGCUUUCUUCUGAGAUACCUGGUAGUUGCUGCUUUUGCUUCAGGAUCCUAGAAAUUCAAGGGUCUUCUUUACUUCAAAGUGGCCACAGCAAACCCCUGUUCAGAAUCCAGGAGGAAUCCUUCACCACC